rnacentral:miRNA from 1 species
CUAUGUAACUAAUAGGUUGGUGAAAAAGUAAUUGCGGUUUUUGCCAUUACAAGUAAUUGCAAUUAAUACCAAAAACUGCAAUUAGUUUUGCACCAACCUAAUGUAUC